GCUCAGAUUGAACGCUGGCGGCAUGCUUUACACAUGCAAGUCGAACGGCAGCACGAAAGAGCUUGCUCUUUUGGUGGCGAGUGGCGAACGGGUGAGUAAUACAUUGGAACGUACCGAGUAAUGGGGGAUAACUGUCCGAAAGGAUGGCUAAUACCGCAUACGCUCUGAGGAGGAAAGCGGGGGACCUUCGGGCCUCGCGUUAUUCGAGCGGCCAAUGUCUGAUUAGCUAGUUGGUGGGGUAAAGGCCUACCAAGGCGACGAUCAGUAGUGGGUCUGAGAGGAUGAUCCGCCACACUGGGACUGAGACACGGCCCAGACUCCUACGGGAGGCAGCAGUGGGGAAUUUUGGACAAUGGGCGAAAGCCUGAUCCAGCCAUGCCGCGUGUCUGAAGAAGGCCUUCGGGUUGUAAAGGACUUUUGUCAGGGAAGAAAGGGUUUGGGUUAAUACCCUAAAGCUUAUGAC
rnacentral:rRNA from 1 species